UAUAGCAGUCGAAUGAACUCCAGCUAUACAACAAGAUGAGACCCCAUCUCUGCAUUUUUUAGAUAACUUGGGAAAUUUCAGUGUGGACUGGAUAUUAGAUUAUACCCUUAUAAUCUUUUUGAAUGGUUGACUCGUGUUGCUUCUCAUAUUCAAAAACAUGAUUUUUGAAUGAAAAAGGUAAAUCACAAAAGAUUACAUAUAGCCUUUUCUAUAAUUCUUAAAGCAGGCCAGGCAGGAGAAUUACUUAAGCUCAGGGGUUCAAGACCAGCCUGAGCAACAUAGUGAGAUGCCAUCUCUACUAAAAAUUAAAAAAAUUAGCCAGGUGUGGUGGUGCCCACCUAUAGUCCCAGCUGCUUGGGAGGUUGAGGCAGGAAGAUUGCUUGAACCCAGGGUUCAAGGCUGCAGUGUGCUGCCUGGGCAACAGAGC
rnacentral:lncRNA from 10 species